GUCAGGGUGGCAGAGCCCGGUUAAUGCAGAAGACCUAAGCCCUUUAAACAGAGGUUCAAGUCCUCUCCCUGACU
ensembl:Mt_tRNA